UGGGGAAUAUUGCGCAAUGGGCGAAAGCCUGACGCAGCAACGCCGCGUGAGUGAUGAAGGCCUUCGGGUCGUAAAGCUCUGUCGGAGGGAACGAAUGCUCCUGAAGUUAACAGCCUCAGGAGGUGACGGUACCCUCAAAGGAAGCACCGGCUAACUCUGUGCCAGCAGCCGCGGUAAUACAGAGGGUGCAAGCGUUGUUCGGAAUCAUUGGGCGUAAAGAGCUCGUAGGCCGCUCUGUAAGUCGGAAGUGAAAGACCACGGCUCAACCGUGGAAACGCUUUCGAAACUGUGGAGCUUGAGGCCGGGAGAGGAGAUCGGAAUUCCUGGUGUAGCGGUGAAAUGCGUAGAUAUCAGGAGGAAUACCGGUGGCGAAGGCGGCAUCCUGGACCAUUACUGACGCUGAGGCGCGAAAGCUAGGGGAGCAAACGGGAUUAGAUACCCCCGUAGUCCCUGAGCGGGCUGGCAAGGCGCAU
rnacentral:rRNA from 1 species